UGGUAUGCUUAACACAUGCAAGUCGAACGAAGAUUGAUAGCUUGCUAUGAAUUUUAGUGGCGGACGGGUGAGUAAUGCAUAGGAAUCUGCCGUAUAGAGGGGGAUAACAGUUGGAAACGACUGCUAAUACCGCAUAAUGCCUUUGGGUUAAAGGGUAGCUUUUGCUGUCGCUAUACGAUGAGCCUAUGUUGGAUUAGCUAGUUGGUGGGGUAAGGGCCUACCAAGGCGACGAUCCAUAGCUGUUCUGAGAGGAAGAUCAGCCACACUGGGACUGAGACACGGCCCAGACUCCUACGGGAGGCAGCAGUGGGGAAUAUUGGACAAUGGGGGCAACCCUGAUCCAGCAAUACCAUGUGUGUGAAGAAGGCCUUAGGGUUGUAAAGCACUUUAGUUAGGGAGGAAAGCGAUUUGGUUAAGAGCUGGAUUGUGUGGCGUUACCUAAAGAAUAAGCACCGGCUAACUCCGUGCCAGCAGCCGCGGUAAUACGGAGGGUGCGAGCGUUAAUCGGAAUUACUGGGCGUAAAGGGUUCGUAGGUGGUUAGAUAAGUCAGAUGUGAAAGGCCUGGGCUCAACCUGGGAAUUGCAUUUGAUACUGUUUAACUAGAGUUCGGUAGAGGAUUGAGGAAUUUCCGGUGUAGCGGUGAAAUGCGUAGAGAUCGGAAGGAACAUCAAUGGCGAAGGCAACAAUCUGGGCCUGAACUGACACUGAGGGACGAAAGCGUGGGUAGCAAACAGGAUUAGAUACCCUGGUAGUCCAUGCUGUAAACGAUGAGUACUUGCUGUUGGCUCUGGUGUAAAAGAGUUAGUGGCGCAGUUAACGCGAUAAGUACUCCGCCUGGGGACUACGGCCGCAAGGCUAAAACUCAAAGGAAUUGACGGGGACCCGCACAAGCGGUGGAGCAUGUGGUUUAAUUCGAUGCAACGCGAAGAACCUUACCUACCCUUGACAUCCACGGAACGGUUGAGAGAUUGACUGGUGCCUUCGGGAGCCGUGAGACAGGUGCUGCAUGGCUGUCGUCAGCUCGUGUUGUGAAAUGUUGGGUUAAGUCCCGCAACGAGCGCAACCCUUAUUUUUAGUUGCCAUCGGGUAAAGCUGGGCACUCUAAAGAGACUGCCGCUGAUAAGGCGGAGGAAGGUGGGGAUGAUGUCAAGUCAUCAUGGCCCUUACGGGUAGGGCUACACACGUGCUACAAUGGGCAUUACAAAGGGAUGCGAAACUGCGAAGUCGAGCGAAACUCAGAAAGGUGUUCGUAGUUCGGAUUGAUCUCUGCAACUCGAGAUCAUGAAGUCGGAAUCGCUAGUAAUCGUGGAUCAGCAUGCCACGGUGAAUACGUUCUCGGGUCUUGUACACACCGCCCGUCACACCAUGGGAGUGGGUUGCAAAAGAAGUAGAUAGUUUA
rnacentral:rRNA from 1 species